rnacentral:rRNA from 1 species
UACAGAGGUCCCAAGCGUUGUUCGGAUUCACUGGGCGUAAAGGGUGCGUAGGCGGUGGGGUAAGUCGGAUGUGAAAGCUCGGAGCUCAACUCCGAAAUGGCAUUGGAAACUACCCUGCUAGAGGAUUGGAGGGGGGACUGGAAUACUUGGUGUAGCAGUGAAAUGCGUAGAUAUCAAGUGGAACACCAGUGGCGAAGGCGAGUCCCUGGACAAUUCCUGACACUGAGGCACGAAAGCUAGGGGAGCAAACAGG